CUCUGCGUCCGAGAUCCGAAGGGAGCACAAGGGAGGGUAGGGUAGGGUGCGGGGUGUGGGGAUCAGUGCCCAUGGGGACUUAGGCGGAGGCCUUAAAAUUCACAGGUUUGUUUUGUUUACAUGAAAAAGUUUACACUCCAAAGAUACACUCUGAAGGAAAGAAAGUAACUGUCUUCCCCCAGGAGCCAAGCCCCAGCUGCAUGGGAUUACAGGGAAAGUGUAUUGUGGAAGGGAGGGAGGAGGGGGAGACUGUAACUGUGGGCCUAAGGGGGCGAGCAGCCAAGAAAAACUACCUUAACUGUGGUAUGGUUUAAAACUAAAAUUUGAAGUGGGAACACUUGGCCGACCCAGGUAACCAGAGGCGUCGUCUGUCCUAGAAGUCGCUAGGACCCACCGGGUGUCCCGGUUCUACUCCUAGCUCUUCCUGUUGUAUGUAGCUGCUCCGUGGCCAUAGAUUGGUCGUUUUGUGCUUCUGGGCCUCAGUUUCCUUAUAAAAAGAAGGAGCUUUGUUGAAUUAUAUAUAAGAUUUAUUCUAACUCUCAAAUUCUGUGUCCAGAAGUUACUGACCUAAAAACGGUGAACUCUGCAGAAUAAUUACUAAAAGAUUUUCUCUCCUCAACUACCAGCUUACUUGGAAGUUCUAGUAGCUGAGAGCGUCUCCUCAAACUGGCUUUGCCACUGCAGAACAGUGGUUGCAGGAGACAUUUUCAGAAAUAUACACUCCUACACCCCACCUCCCAACUUGGAAAUUCACAGUGCGCCUUAGUAAUAGAAAAGAUUCUGAGAAUUACUAUGGUUCAGAGCCCUAACUUUGUUUAAACCUGCCCUUCCCAGUAUUAUUUGACCAGAUUCUUUGUUCUGUGGCAGCCUUUUUGAACAUCUUUCUGCAGAUAGCUGUUACUGGAACACUGUGCUUUUGUACUAACUGCAGUUUGCGAAGGAGUACAUCUGGAGCUGUGAGAGAGGAAAUAUAUACUCUUUAUUAAGCCUACUGUGUGCCAGGCACUGGUACUAGGCAUUGAAAAUACAGUGGUGAGCAAGGUAGACAUGGUUACGCUUCACACAGAACUUAUAAUUUAGCAGUGAAGAGAGAGAAAUUUAUACAAAGUGGGACAAGUGCCAUGACAAGGAAAAUACAAGACCUUAGGAAGCACAAAGUAAGGCCACCAGACACUCAGGAUGGGCAGAAGGACUUUCCAAAGGAUGUAGCACUUAGGAGGUCAUCUAAAUUGUAAGAGGGGUGGCUUGAAGGGAGAGGAUAGUGCAGUUGGAGGAACUGGAUGCGUAAAGGAAGAGGAAAUAUGUGAGAAGAGGAAAUGGAAGAUGUUUUCUAUGGACGGAACUCAAAUACAAAUAGGAGAUAAGUGAGAAAUUAAGUAGAGAGAUAGUAACUGUAGUAAAUAUUGACUAAUAUUUAUGUGUCAAAUAUGUCAGAUACUGUAUCAAACAUUGUAUUCUAUCUCAUUUAAUAUUCAUAACUACACUUUGAAAUGAGUAUUAAUAUUCCCAUUUUACAGAUGAGGACACUGAGGGACAAAGAAAUCCAGUAAUUUGUCUAUUAUGAGACAGCUGGUAAGCAAGAGGUCAGUCUGGUUCCUCUAGACUGUGCGCGUCAUUCAUUUUGCCGUUGUAUAGGUUAACUUCCAAGGUAGCUUCCAGCUCUUUAAGGACCUGUAGACCAUGAGAAGAGGUUUGGCGUUAUCCUACAAAUGAUAGGAAGCCAUUUAAGGGUUUUAAAACAGAUUCACAUUUUGGAAAGAUAAUUCUGGCUAGAAAGUAGAUUGGAGACAAAGUUUACCAGUUAGGAGUAAUUCUGGUGAGUUAUGAUAAUGUGUGGCUAAGAUGUGGUCUCAACAGGUAAGGAGAGAAGCGGAUAAAUUGAAGAUACAUUUUUGAUGGUAGAAUCACUAGGAGUUGAUGAUUGAUUCAAUGUGGUUGUUGAAAUUGCCUCCAACAUUCAUGUCAGUGAUUCACCACUCUCCAUGAAGAGUUGAACUGGCACAAGUGGCAAUGUAUGUUACUGAUGUAGUUGGCACAAAACUGUUUUCUUGUUAUCUCCUUCACUGAAGCCUAUAGCCAAGGUAGGGAGUUUUUCUAUGGCCAAGUUAACAUUUCAGUCUGGCACAUCACAGUGAAUAAGAUUUUUAAAACACAUUAUGAUAGUAUCUUAGUAAUAGAACAAUUCUAAAUUACAUCCAAUUGCUCUUUAUUCCUAAACUAGACUAUAGGUAAUUUCUUUUCUCUCUAGUCUGUAUUGCACAUUGCUGCUAAAAUAAUUUUCCCAAAUCAUAUAUCUGAUCCUGCCAUUGCUGGGAGGCAUGAACUUAGUUCUUCACCCCAUCUGUGAAUUUUGUAAUUCUCUUCAAGCCACUUAACCUUUUGGAGAUUCAGUUUUUGUGUCUCUAUAAUAGAGUUGAAGGCUAAGGUUUCUUAAGUUUCUAACGUGUUAAAAUGCCAAAUCUCCCCAUCUCUCUCUGCAAGAAUGAAGUGCACACUCCCGAGCCUGACUAAAUCACUGUUUCUACUCUUUCCUUCCACCACUCCCCUCAUGCAUUCUACAAUCCUGCAAAAAUCUGAUUUGGCCAGUUAUUCUGUGAACCUCUCAAGUGCUUUCCUACCUGCGAGCCUUUGUUAUUACCUCCUAUUUUGCCUGUAACUGCCUGUGGGAAGCUUUCCUGAUCUCUUAGCUGAAACUCUUGCCUGCCACUUUUUCAUAGUUA